UUUCUUUAAAUGAGGAAGUGCAUUUCUGUAUGUAUGAAGACGAUGGACCACAUUGGCAAGAUGUGACCGCAAGAAAAGCCUAAAACCGAUGGGAGGAUGUCAUGAGUGAUUCACUGAUGCACAAGUUACCUUUCACACGCCGACCGGCAUCACGACAGAUCUGCAGGACCUCAUUCUCACCAGCUUCGAUGAAGGACUGCACUGGAACUCUGCCACAGAGUCCAUGACUUUCCAGGGCCCACAGCCAACCGCCUCCAAGUCACUGGCCACGUGUUUGCCAUAAGAAAACUCUCGUUGCUGCCCUUGAACGAGGGCUACGGCAAAGACGAUGGCGGUCAGGGGAAGAGCAAUC